rnacentral:rRNA from 1 species
GACGAACGCUGGCGGCGUGCUUAACACAUGCAAGUCGAACGAUGAAGCCGGAGCUUGCUCUGGUGAAUUAGUGGCGAACGGGUGAGUAACACGUGAGUAACCUGCCCUUGACUCUGGGAUAACUGCGGGAAACUGUAGCUAAUACCGGAUACGACCCUCGGAGGCAUCUCCUGGGGGUGGAAAGAAUUUCGGUCAAGGAUGGACUCGCGGCCUAUCAGCCGGUUGGUGAGGUAAAGGCUCACCAAGGCGACGACGGGUAGCCGGCCUGAGAGGGUGCCCGGCCACACUGGGACUGAGACACGGCCCAGACUCCUACGGGAGGCAGCAGUGGGGAAUAUUGCACAAUGGGCGCAAGCCUGAUGCAGCAACGCCGCGUGAGGGAUGACGGCCUUCGGGUUGUAAACCUCUUUUAGCAGGGAAGAAGCGAAAGUGACGGUACCUGCAGAAAAAGCACCGGCUAACUACGUGCCAGCAGCCGCUGUAA